rnacentral:rRNA from 1 species
UUCCAGACUCCUACGGGAGGCAGCAGUGGGGAAUAUUGCACAAUGGGGGAAACCCUGAUGCAGCGACGCCGCGUGGGCGAGGAAGUACCUCGGUAUGUAAAGCCCUAUCAGCAGGGAAGAAACAGGACAGUACCUGACUAAGAAGCCCCGGCUAACUACGUGCCAGCAGCCGCGGUAAUACGUAGGGGGCAAGCGUUAUCCGGAUUUACUGGGUGUAAAGGGAGCGUAGACGGCAGCGCAAGUCUGAAGUGAAAUGCCGGGGCUUAACCCCGGAACUGCUUUGGAAACUGUGCAGCUAGAGUGCAGGAGAGGUAAGUGGAAUUCCUAGUGUAGCGGUGAAAUGCGUAGAUAUUAGGAGGAACACCAGUGGCGAAGGCGGCUUACUGGACUGUAACUGACGUCGAGGCUCGAAAGCGUGGGGAGCAAACAGGAUUAGAUACCCUGGUAAGA